ensembl:lncRNA
CAGGGGGAUGAAAACAUACUGAGAAGAAAGAAUGUGUUACAGUGUGUGUCUGACUGGAGUUAGGAGUGGCAUAAGAUUUACAGAGGGAGACAAAAGACAUUUUGCACUGGGAGUGAAUAAUCUAAAUGUACUUCAAAUUGUAGUUUUAGGUGUUCAUUUGAAAGUUCAGAAGUCUGAAGUGAUAAAUAAUGAAGAAUUCACUCCAAAGGAAAAGAAGCUCCAGCUCAGCUUUAACUACAGCUAACAUACAUCCACAUGCUGCUCAAAUCAACACCAGGCCAGUGUGUUUGUCUCAGAUGAGCAGUGUUUUCAAUAGUGUGCCACAACUAUUCGGAACAGCACAAGCUUUCCUACUGAGACUAGCACAACUUGAAGCUCAGUUGGUUUUGAACCUGAUUAGUAAUGUUGCAGCUUUAAAUAAUAGCAGUUAUGGGAACCCCCUUGUUCCUUUAAAUCUCUUACAGCCUGUUGGCAUUCAAAGAUCCUCAUUUUUGAGCAUGUACCAGCAACCCGGGGGGGUUAAAAACAUGGGUUCCAUACCUCACAUGGUUAGCAACCCCUCAACAUCUGUCACAGACAUUAAUUCACUCAUUUCCUAUAAGGAGAGUGGUGCCCUUCUAGCAAAAGAGAUCAUUCAGGAGAAAACACUAGGUCCCUUCAUGAAUAACACAACAUUGUCACUGCCAGCAUCUGAGGAAGCUCUUGUUAGAUCCAGUCACAACCAUCUUGGCAAACAUUUCACCUUCAAACCAGACGUGGACUGUCCUCGAUAUCAGUCAGUGAUAGCCAAAGCAAUGAUGCCUCCUGAUAGACCACAAACCAAAGAAGCAGAGCCAAAGAAACAAAAAAUACUGCAUCUUCCAACAGACAACUUGAACAAAGCUUUGAGCAGCCUUGGUCUUUCUCUUGAGGAUCUAGAAUUACUCAGUCAUUGCCCAGACAACCAGUUAACAACAGAGAAUCUCCCCUUCAUUAUACAAAACAUUCAGCAGCGCAAAGGAACAAAGAAUGUUAAAUAUGGCCAUGCUACAUGGAACUCAUCUGAUCAAGUGGAAUCAUCCAGAGAGUCACCAUACGCUCACGGGGAACAGAGGAAUCAAAAGAUUAUUAAUGGUGCAUGGCAAGAAUCCCAUUCCCAUAGAUCCCUCAGCCCUGAAAGAUCCCGCCCAUCUGAACUCAUUCAUGAGCACUUCUCAACCCAGUCUAAAACACUGAAAAGAAUAAGACAUGCAUCAGGAAGAGGCUCAAAUUCCUUCCUAAAGAGGCUGCAACAUGGGCCUGCUGAGGUCACCAAGUGGAGGCCUGGUUCAGUCUAUGUUCCCCCUCACUCAAAAUGUAGCAUGAGAUCUACCACUUACAAUGGCUUGAAAAAAGGUUAUCAAAAGUCUUCAUUUCCAGUAAAAUCUGCAAAAUCAGAAGUAACCACUGAAUCCAUGAACAUUCAGAUACCAGUAACUAAGACGACUGCAAAAACAUCAGCACAAACUAAGGGUGUGAUUCGUGUGUCUGGAAUCCCUCUUGAUUACUCUGAGAGUGAACUCAUCAAAAUGGCAUCUCCCUUUGGUCACCCUGUUGAGGUUUUAAUGGCAACUGAUGUUGACACGACAACCUGUCUACAGUGGAAGAAGGCUUUACUGAUGUUUCCAACUGAAUUCUCAGCCCAGGAGAUGGUGAAGGUUUACUCUGCUAUCCCAGUUCACAUGAGGCAGCAAAGUUUAGAGUUGGUGUCUCGAACUGUUGAUUUUAAUUCACCUGUGUCAGUGUUUCAUGCCUUUGUGGGACCAUCAUUGUCAAAUGGGCUGCUAACACCUUUGGACCAUUUGCUGGUUGUAUGUAAUGUUCCCAAUCAGCCCUGUGCUGUUACAGGAGUGCUACGGCUACUAAAGCCUUUUGGACAAGUUUUCAGAACUCUGGUACUUCAUGGAAACAAGGUGGAUGUAGAUCAGUGCCUUGGGAACAAUAGCAGCAUCCAGAUGGUUUUAGAGAUGGAAUCCUCUUCUGUUGCUUUAUCUGUGUAUGAGUGGUCUCAAAAAAUUCCUUGUCUUUAUCACAACCAUCAUCUCUCUUUCCUCAGAGGAUGUAAUAUACAGAAAAAUACAUCUUCGGUCUAAUAUCCUCACAGUUUUGUCCCCUUAAAUAUUGUAUAUUUUAUUAUCUUUGUUAUAAAAUACAAUGAAACAAGGUCAUAAGAAGUAUUAUUGUUUGUAUUUCUCCUUUUAUGAAGUUGUAUAUUUAUCAAGCAGUAGAAGUAGCAUUAAAAAUAGUAAUCCUAACUACAGUCACUACAAUACCCAUAGUCAUGGAAAUCCUGGAAAUAUCAGGGAAUUUUAAAAGUCAUGAAAAAAUUUAAAAUGUCAUGAAAUAUUUAAUCCAGUAAUCACAAUCAGCUGGAAAGGUCAUGGAAUGCAUAAGUCAGAAAUAGUAAGAACCUGUAAAUUAUAUUAAAUGAUUAAUUUACAUAUGGUUGUAUGAUUUUAAUUGUUGGAAAUGUUGGAAGUUCACAUAUAGUGACAAACCCAAUCACAGUUUUAAAGAGUUAAUUCACCCAGAAAAAUAAAUUUCCCCAUACAGUGAAAGCAUUAGUAACCAGGGGCCAUCAAGCUUCAAAAGGGAUAAAAUAGCACUGUAUGUAGGUUUGAUGUCAUUGAUAUCAUGCACCAAGUUUAAAAAUAUCUAUGUACAUAUGCAAGUAAGAUUUGAGAGCUGUGCAAGAGGGGAUAUUUUCACUACUAUAAAACACACCAGUGUACUUCACUAGGCCUUAAAGGGAUAGUUCACCCAAAAAUAUUAUAAUAUUAUAUUGUCAAAUUUCAUCAAUGUUGCUCAUGUACACAUGCAACCUGUGACGUAGCAUUUUGCUGUUUAUCAUGUAUCAUUUCAUACUUUAUUGUUUCACAUAUUGAAAUUAACAGUCAACAUACCUACAGCCUACUGUGUAGUAGUCAGCAUGGAGUUAUAAAUUAAAUAAAUACAUUUAUGCAUUUAGCAGACGCUUUUAUCCAAAGCGACUUACAGUGCAUUCAGGCUAUCAAUUUUUACCUAUCAUUAUGUUUGUUUACAACAUCUGGGUCAUUGUUCUCAACCUUAAAAUGCUGUAUAUGAGUGUCUUUGUACUGAUUUGUUUUUUUAAUCACCUAGAUUGUUCUGUAUUAAACAUUUGAGUGGGUUAUAUCAGAUCCAAAUCUGGGUUAAUGACACUAUUGAAUAAGAGGUUACAUCUCAUGAUCCUUUAUCCAAACUAAGCGACUUGCAGCGUGUCUGUCCAUGCGUUCACUGGAAAUCAAACGACCAUUUCUACUUACAUUUGAUUUUUUUUUCAGUGCUAGUGGAUUUCCUGUCCGAGCCACCUUCAAGCACAAGCAAAGAGAUGUUUUUUGAAUAAAACCAAGUAUUUUUCCAG